GGUUAAGCGACUAAGCGUACACGGUGGAUGCCCUGGCAGUCAGAGGCGAUGAAGGACGUGCUAAUCUGCGAUAAGCGUCGGUAAGGUGAUAUGAACCGUUAUAACCGGCGAUUUCCGAAUGGGGAAACCCAGUGUGUUUCGACACACUAUCAUUAACUGAAUCCAUAGGUUAAUGAGGCGAACCGGGGGAACUGAAACAUCUAAGUACCCCGAGGAAAAGAAAUCAACCGAGAUUCCCCCAGUAGCGGCGAGCGAACGGGGAGGAGCCCAGAGCCUGAAUCAGUGUGUGUGUUAGUGGAAGCGUCUGGAAAGGCGCGCGAUACAGGGUGACAGCCCCGUACACAAAAAUGCACAUGCUGUGAGCUCGAUGAGUAGGGCGGGACACGUGGUAUCCUGUCUGAAUAUGGGGGGACCAUCCUCCAAGGCUAAAUACUCCUGACUGACCGAUAGUGAACCAGUACCGUGAGGGAAAGGCGAAAAGAACCCCGGCGAGGGGAGUGAAAAAGAACCUGAAACCGUGUACGUACAAGCAGUGGGAGCACGCUUAGGCGUGUGACUGCGUACCUUUUGUAUAAUGGGUCAGCGACUUAUAUUCUGUAGCAAGGUUAACCGAAUAGGGGAGCCGAAGGGAAACCGAGUCUUAACUGGGCGUUAAGUUGCAGGGUAUAGACCCGAAACCCGGUGAUCUAGCCAUGGGCAGGUUGAAGGUUGGGUAACACUAACUGGAGGACCGAACCGACUAAUGUUGAAAAAUUAGCGGAUGACUUGUGGCUGGGGGUGAAAGGCCAAUCAAACCGGGAGAUAGCUGGUUCUCCCCGAAAGCUAUUUAGGUAGCGCCUCGUGAACUCAUCUCCGGGGGUAGAGCACUGUUUCGGCAAGGGGGUCAUCCCGACUUACCAACCCGAUGCAAACUGCGAAUACCGGAGAAUGUUAUCACGGGAGACACACGGCGGGUGCUAACGUCCGUCGUGAAGAGGGAAACAACCCAGACCGCCAGCUAAGGUCCCAAAGUCAUGGUUAAGUGGGAAACGAUGUGGGAAGGCCCAGACAGCCAGGAUGUUGGCUUAGAAGCAGCCAUCAUUUAAAGAAAGCGUAAUAGCUCACUGGUCGAGUCGGCCUGCGCGGAAGAUGUAACGGGGCUAAACCAUGCACCGAAGCUGCGGCAGCGACGCUGAUGCGUUGUUGGGUAGGGGAGCGUUCUGUAAGCCUGCGAAGGUGUGCUGUGAGGCAUGCUGGAGGUAUCAGAAGUGCGAAUGCUGACAUAAGUAACGAUAAAGCGGGUGAAAAGCCCGCUCGCCGGAAGACCAAGGGUUCCUGUCCAACGUUAAUCGGGGCAGGGUGAGUCGACCCCUAAGGCGAGGCCGAAAGGCGUAGUCGAUGGGAAACAGGUUAAUAUUCCUGUACUUGGUGUUACUGCGAAGGGGGGACGGAGAAGGCUAUGUUGGCCGGGCGACGGUUGUCCCGGUUUAAGCGUGUAGGCUGGUUUUCCAGGCAAAUCCGGAAAAUCAAGGCUGAGGCGUGAUGACGAGGCACUACGGUGCUGAAGCAACAAAUGCCCUGCUUCCAGGAAAAGCCUCUAAGCAUCAGGUAACAUCAAAUCGUACCCCAAACCGACACAGGUGGUCAGGUAGAGAAUACCAAGGCGCUUGAGAGAACUCGGGUGAAGGAACUAGGCAAAAUGGUGCCGUAACUUCGGGAGAAGGCACGCUGAUAUGUAGGUGAGGUCCCUCGCGGAUGGAGCUGAAAUCAGUCGAAGAUACCAGCUGGCUGCAACUGUUUAUUAAAAACACAGCACUGUGCAAACACGAAAGUGGACGUAUACGGUGUGACGCCUGCCCGGUGCCGGAAGGUUAAUUGAUGGGGUUAGCGGUAACGCGAAGCUCUUGAUCGAAGCCCCGGUAAACGGCGGCCGUAACUAUAACGGUCCUAAGGUAGCGAAAUUCCUUGUCGGGUAAGUUCCGACCUGCACGAAUGGCGUAAUGAUGGCCAGGCUGUCUCCACCCGAGACUCAGUGAAAUUGAACUCGCUGUGAAGAUGCAGUGUACCCGCGGCAAGACGGAAAGACCCCGUGAACCUUUACUAUAGCUUGACACUGAACAUUGAGCCUUGAUGUGUAGGAUAGGUGGGAGGCUUUGAAGUGUGGACGCCAGUCUGCAUGGAGCCGACCUUGAAAUACCACCCUUUAAUGUUUGAUGUUCUAACGUUGACCCGUAAUCCGGGUUGCGGACAGUGUCUGGUGGGUAGUUUGACUGGGGCGGUCUCCUCCUAAAGAGUAACGGAGGAGCACGAAGGUUGGCUAAUCCUGGUCGGACAUCAGGAGGUUAGUGCAAUGGCAUAAGCCAGCUUGACUGCGAGCGUGACGGCGCGAGCAGGUGCGAAAGCAGGUCAUAGUGAUCCGGUGGUUCUGAAUGGAAGGGCCAUCGCUCAACGGAUAAAAGGUACUCCGGGGAUAACAGGCUGAUACCGCCCAAGAGUUCAUAUCGACGGCGGUGUUUGGCACCUCGAUGUCGGCUCAUCACAUCCUGGGGCUGAAGUAGGUCCCAAGGGUAUGGCUGUUCGCCAUUUAAAGUGGUACGCGAGCUGGGUUUAGAACGUCGUGAGACAGUUCGGUCCCUAUCUGCCGUGGGCGCUGGAGAACUGAGGGGGGCUGCUCCUAGUACGAGAGGACCGGAGUGGACGCAUCACUGGUGUUCGGGUUGUCAUGCCAAUGGCACUGCCCGGUAGCUAAAUGCGGAAGAGAUAAGUGCUGAAAGCAUCUAAGCACGAAACUUGCCCCGAGAUGAGUUCUCCCUGACUCCUUGAGAGUCCUGAAGGAACGUUGAAGACGACGACGUUGAUAGGCCGGGUGUGUAAGCGCAGCGAUGCGUUGAGCUAACCGGUACUAAUGAACCGUGAGGCUUAACCUU
rnacentral:rRNA from 1 species